GGGGAAGCAAUGGGUUCGACGGGGAUUUUUAGCAUAUAGAUAGCGGGUAGAGUGUGACCUCUUAAAAAGUCUAAAGCGUAUUUAAACGCAGGCAGUAAAGGUAAAAAAGAUGAGCAUAACGUAAUCUUUGCAGAUUUUUCUGGAGAGGGCGCUAUCGCUGCUUAAAUGCAGACAUCCGUCUAAUCGGGUAGACCACGGCCUGAACUAGGCGUCACUUUGUGGUGAACGUUGCCUUAGAAAUUUCCUGGUCUUUGGCGAUGAAUUAAGGAAUAUUGCGGCGGUGUUUUUGUUCGUUGGCGUACUGCAGCAAGAAUAAAGAAAACGAACUGCACCUGGAGAGGUCUAUAUGCAAAGGUUCUCGGACAGGGGUUCGAUUCCCCUCUUCUCCACCA
rnacentral:tmRNA from 1 species